GAUGAACGCUGGCGGCGUGCUUAACACAUGCAAGUCGAACGGAAAGGCCCAAGCUUGCUUGGGUACUCGAGUGGCGAACGGGUGAGUAACACGUGGGUGAUCUGCCCUGCACUUCGGGAUAAGCCUGGGAAACUGGGUCUAAUACCGGAUAGGACGAUGGUUUGGAUGCCAUUGUGGAAAGUUUUUUCGGUGUGGGAUGAGCUCGCGGCCUAUCAGCUUGUUGGUGGGGUAAUGGCCUACCAAGGCGUCGACGGGUAGCCGGCCUGAGAGGGUGUACGGCCACAUUGGGACUGAGAUACGGCCCAGACUCCUACGGGAGGCAGCAGUGGGGAAUAUUGCACAAUGGGCGCAAGCCUGGUGCAGCGACGCCGCGUGGGGGAUGACGGCCUUCGGGUUGUAAACUCCUUUCGCUAGGGACGAAGCGUUUUUGUGACGGUACCUGGAGAAGAAGCACCGGCUAACUACGUG
rnacentral:rRNA from 1 species